rnacentral:rRNA from 1 species
AAAGUGAAUAGUGAAAUCUGGUGGCUCAACCAUUCAGGCUAUUAUUCAAACUCACACACUCGAGAACAGCAGAGGUAACUGGAAUUUCUGAAGUAGGGGUAAUAUCCGUAGAUAUCAGAAGGAACACCGAUGGCGUAGGCAGGUUACUGGGCUGUUUCUGACACUGAGGCACGAAAGCGUGGGGAGCGAACCGGAUUAGAUACCCGGGUAGUCCCAACGCCGUAAAACGAUGGAUACUA